ACGUAGGGAGCAAGCGUUGUCCGGAAUUACUGGGUGUAAAGGGAGUGUAGGCGGGAUGGUAAGUCAGAUGUGAAAUUUAUGGGCUCAACCCAUAACCUGCAUUUGAAACUGCUGUUCUUGAGUGAAGUAGAGGUUGGCGGAAUUCCUAGUGUAGCGGUGAAAUGCGUAGAUAUUAGGAGGAACAUCAGUGGCGAAGGCGGCCAACUGGGCUUUUACUGACGCUGAGGCUCGAAAGCGUGGGGAGCAAACAG
rnacentral:rRNA from 1 species